rnacentral:rRNA from 1 species
GUGGGGAAUCUUCCGCAAUGGACGAAAGUCUGACGGAGCAACGCCGCGUGAGUGAUGAAGGUCUUCGGAUUGUAAAGCUCUGUUAAUCGGGACGAAAGAGCCUAGUGUGAAUAAUGCUAGGAAGUGACGGUACCGGAAUAGAAAGCCACGGCUAACUACGUGCCAGCAGCCGCGGUAAUACGUAGGUGGCAAGCGUUGUCCGGAAUUAUUGGGCGUAAAGCGCGCGCAGGCGGAUCUGCCAGUCUGUCUUAAAAGUUCGGGGCUUAACCCCGUGAUGGGAUGGAAACUACAGGGCUAGAGUAUCGGAGAGGAAAGUGGAAUUCCUAGUGUAGCGGUGAAAUGCGUAGAUAUUAGGAAGAACACCAGUGGCGAAGGCGACUUUCUGGACGAAAACUGACGCUGAGGCGCGAAAGCCAGGGGAGCGAACGGGAUUAGAAACCCGGGUAGUCC